rnacentral:rRNA from 1 species
GACGAACGCUGGCGGCGUGCCUAACACAUGCAAGUCGAAGAUAGUGGCGAACGGGUGAGUAAUACGUGGGUAACCUGCCAUCCUUUUGGGGAUAAGCCUUGGAAACGGGGUCUAAUACCGAAUAAAGGGGGAUGGGCUCGCGGCCUAUCAGUUUGUUGGUGGGGUGAUGGCCUACCAAGGCGGUGACGGGUAGCCAGGCUGAGAGGGUGACCGGCCACGUUGGGACUGCGAUACGUCCCAGAGUCCUACGGGAGGCGGCAGUGGGGGAUAUUGCCGAAAGGGCGAAAGCCCUAUGCAGCGACGCCGCGUGGGGGUUGAAGGCUUUCGAGUUGUAAGCCUCUUUCGGUAUCGAACGGUUAGUUGGAGAAGAAGCGCCGGCUAACUACGUGCCAGCAGCCGCGGUAAUAC